AGAAAUAGAUGCAUUGAAGGAACGCUUGCAAGAAUGUGAAAGCAAUCUACGAAGAAAGGAACUUGAGGUGGAUGAUCUCAAAAGACGUGUGAGGGAUCAAU